UACGGCUACCCAAAGUUAAUUUUAAAAUGUAAAAGGAAAACACGUUUCAUUCACAAAUGAAGACUGAACUCAAAUCCUUUAAGAGUCAGACUCCAAUCUUGGGUCUCUAGUAUCCAUGAAUGUCCAUUUGUAUGGAAUGCAGGGCACCAUAUUCUUGGACACACAGGGUUGGGCACCUGAGACAUCAUCCUGGUCUCCUUGAUAUGGCGUGUGAGGAGAUUCUGUCCAAGCUUGUUUCCUUCCUUCCUGGGAAUCUGAGUGUUGGUCAUGCUUGUUUCAUAGGUGAGCUGAGACUCUGGGAGAGUUGAGGGUUUACCCACUUGAGGAAGCCCUUCCAGACCAGAGGCAACACCUACGAAAGGAUCCUUCAACCUCCAAAGGGGUCACACCCCACAGGCUGGGAACCACUGCCUUAAAGGAACUAAUUUUAUAUCCUCGGACUAGGCUCUGUCAAACCAGAGUUUUUCUCCAAGUGCAACCCUAAGGCAAGGGUUGAAGUGAAGACAAGGAAAUUGGCCAGAGAGAGUUGAAGGGUCUGACCUUAUGAUGUUUAUAUGGUAGCCCAUCCACUUGUAACUGCCCAGAAUUAAAGAAAGUGAUUUAACUUGAAAAUAGGGUCUUAGCCGAACAUAGUAGAAUAUACACCUAUAGUUCCAGAACUUCAGUGCUGAGGCAGGGAGAUCAGGAGUUCAAAAGCAGCCUAGGCUAUAUAAUAAGGCCCUGUCUCAAACAGUAAGACAAAGAGGAUAUAGCCUUUUUGGUAGUGUCUGCCUGACAUGCCCAUGGAUUCCAUGAACAACAUCCCAUAAAACCAGAACUAGUGAGAGCAUAUCUGUAACCCCAGGGCACCAGAUGUGGUGGCAAGAGGGUUAUAAGUUGAAUAUAAUCCUUGACGAUAUAGGGGGUUCAAGGCCAUCCUGGGUUCCUUGAAACACCAUCUCAAAAUAAAAACGGCACAAAAGAAAUAAACUAAGAAAACAGAGUGUUUGAAGAUGAAAUCACUUCAAAAAUUUGAGAGGAAAUAAUCCUGUUAGACUGAGGUUCUAACCUAAAUCCAAGACUAAUGUCUGUGUAAGGAGAGACAUAGUGCAGAUAGACACAUGGAGAAGGUGGUCACGUGAUGAUGGAACGGGAAUUCUGGGAGCCAAAAAUACUGGGAAAUGGGAAUUACAGAAGAUCGUGGCUGGACUCUUCCGAGCUUAUGUGGCCACACUGAGACUGUAGACUUCUUGUCUCCAAAACCAUGAGAAUAAAUUUCUGUUGUUUGAAAUCA